UUAAAUUAAACCACUAACUCCAAUUAUUAACUUUUAGUUUCUUUUCAAAAUGGCCAGCCAUCUUGUUUUCCCAUAUAAGAAAUUAUCGGCGAGGAAGAAACAUUCAACGCGCAUGAUACAUUUUUGGGCAAAAUCUAGGGUUGAGAUUACGGGCAAAAUCUCAAUUGUUGCAUCAAGACUGUUGCCCGCGAGGAAGAGGCAUCCCUAUCGCCGGCAACGGGCAAAAAUAUCCUUGAUUUAGUUCCCAAUUUAGUUCAUAAUCGUCCACCAGAAGGCUCGGUGCUUAUGGUUCACCAGAAGGGUAUCUAUAGCUUCUUUAGAAGAUAUUAUUCUGGAUUUCUGGUGCAUGGUUGGUCUCUUGCCCAUGCUACUUUUUCUUAAUUAGUAGGGAUUCUUUUCACCUUGUCCUCCUUCCAAAGGAAUUUGUUUCCUACCAGUUACAAAAUUUCCAUUCGGUGGUUGUUUUUUUUCCUUUUCUGGUUGUUAUUCCCUUUAUUAAAUUUUCAUGGUACGACUACAAUAGUCUGCAUUAUAGUGAUGAAAUUGGUAUGUCUGGUAUAUUAGCCAGCAAAAAUGAAGUAUUUGCAGGUCAAAAACUUCUAACCAGUAUUUGUGAUACCAUUCUAAGUGUACUCAAUAAUUUUUUUGAAAAGAUGCUUAUUUGUAUUGUAUUGCAUACCUGGCGGGUGCCUACACCUGAGAAACCUCUCGUCACCAGUCUGUUAAUCAUUCUGUUGCCGCUAUUUGGAUUAUGAUUUCUUUGUUGUUACUUGACUUGCAUUACCUUUUUUAAAUCUAAAUUUC